rnacentral:rRNA from 1 species
GAUGAAUGCUGGCGGCGUGCCUAAUACAUGCAAGUCGAGCGAACGGACGAGAAGCUUGCGUUUCUGAUGUUAGCGGCGGACGGGUGAGUAACACGUGGAUAACCUACCUAUAAGACGGGGAUAACUUCGGGACACCGGAGAUAAUAGCGGAGAAUAUUUUGAACCGCAGGGUUGAAAAGAGAAAGACGGUCUUGCUGUCACUAAUAGAUGGAUCCGCGCUGCAUUAGCUAGUUGGUAAGGUAACGGCUUACCAAGGCGACGAUGCAUAGCCGACCUGAGAGGCUGAUCGGCCACCCUGGAGCUUGGCCACGGUCCAGGCUCCUGCGGGAGGCCGCAGUAGGGAAUCUUCCGCAAUGGGCGGAAGCCUGACGGAGCAGCGCCGCGUGAGUGAUGAAGGUCUUCGGUUCGUAAAACUCUGUUAUUAGUGAAGAACAGCUGUGUAAGUAACUGUGCACAUCUUGACGGUACCUAAUCAGAAAGCCCCGGCUAACUACGUG